CAGAUUUUGAUGUGGGGGUGAGGGCUGGAGGAACAUGGCUGCUCCCUCGCUGCUGGAAGAUGGCUGCCACGAGUCCCCAGUUGUCAGGCUCCAACCUGACCUACAUUGUUAAUACCCACCACGAGUAAGAAGGGCUGUUACCCCCACACAAAUCUGAUUAGGUGCAAGUUACUUUUUUUUUUUUUUUUUUUUUUUUUCUCCCUGCUGUACGCCCAGGAAAUUUCUGUAUUAGGAAAAGUUGCCUGCUUGGGGGAGGACAAGGCCUCAGGUAUGCUCAUCCCUGCUUAAAAUGGAAGCAGCUCUGCCUCAGCCAGAGCUGUCACCUUGUAAAAUCUGGCAUGGGGUCUUGCAGGCAAGGAGGUGCUCCCAGCAGCACAGAAAUGGGCCAGGGUAAACCAGAUUGUGCCCGUGCAUAUAGGAGCUAUAAUAUUGGGCAGAGGUGAAGCUAGUAGAUUAGUACAGACUGAGCAACCCAUGCCUGUAAUCCUUGCUCCUCUGACAAGUCAGCAGGCCCACUUUAAGCCCUUCUGCAAGAGGUCCAAGGCAAUGUCCCCAUGGCACACUGUAUCCUCUGUCCCUGUCCACUGCAGCAUCUUGCUGGCAGAGGCAGGGUGAGUACACUGCCACCCUGCCGGCACCCUUGCUCAAGCCAUGUGUGAGAGGCAAGGACAGGGAUUUGGCCUGAGGAAAGCUGUACCAAAGCCGUGCCAAAGCUGUGUCCUGCUUCCCUAAUUGAGCAGGAAUUAAGGCAGCAGUGGUGGUGUCACCCCUCCGCCCACCUCAACUGAGAAGCAGGCAUUAGUGGCCACCCAAGCAUUUGCAGCUGGUCGUAGCGGCGCUGAGGAUUCAGGCGACUGCUUCGGUGAAAUGAAAGAAUGAUUUCUGACAGCAGCUGAGACUGCUGUGGUGCCUGGGGAAAGUGUGGUGUUGUCAUCAUGCAGGCAGCCAGCAAGAAAAGAAAAUUUUUCCUCCACCUUCUACAUCUACUCACCCAUCCCCCUGUACUUUUUUGUUUUUUUUUGGUUUUUUUUUUUUUUUUUUGGUACUAGAAAUAUUUCAGGCACAAUUAAAAAGGCGUUAUUAGCAUUUAAUUGGUUUGGAGUCCUCACUGUGAUGUUGAGCCCUGGUGCUGAUGUCAUCCCAGUUGUCAUGGUUACAGGUGAACAAGCCGCUGGAAGUGCAAAAUCAGCGCCGGGCUCCAAGGGGAAGGGAGGAUGGAGGGGGGAACCUGGGGAGGAACCCGAGGCUGGAAAUGAGCGAGCAGAAACAGCUGCCAUCGCCAGGCUCUCCUAAGGGAAAAACCUAAACCUGUCAAAAAUGUUAAUAAGAAGGGUCAGGAGGAAGAGACAGAAACAAACAAGUGCCCAUGGCUCUGCAGACAGGUUUUGCAAGCUAUAUGGUAAUCAGAUGCAUGCCCAGAGAGGUGUAAAAUGAUGCAGUCUCACUUUCCAGGGAGCGCUUAGGAGCACAUACACCCCCAGGUGUACAUGGCCCUGAGUCUUCGAAGGAACUUCCAAGGCAAACAGUUAUCACAUUCCAUAUUUCUCAUAAAGGCGGCUUUUAACAGAAACCCCACUCUUGACCUGGCCCCCAGGAACCUGCUCAGUGACUCACCUAAGUGGAGCAGAUCCCUCUGCACCACGGAAUUUCCUAGAAAGAAGCUCAAGGUAUAAAAUGCUUGUACAGCCUCGAAUGCCUGUGCUGUGCUCAGCUUUGUCUUCGGUUGCUAAAUAGCAGGGUAGUGCCACUGCUGCAUGAAAUAAAAUGUAUGCUAAAUCAAUCCA
rnacentral:lncRNA from 1 species